rnacentral:rRNA from 1 species
CUACGGGACGCUCCAGUGAGGAAUAUUGCACAAUGGGGGGAACCCUGAUGCAGCAACGCCGCGUGGAGGAUGACGCAUUUCGGUGUGUAAACUCCUUUUAUAUGUCAAGAAAAUGACGGUAGCAUAUGAAUAAGCACCGGCUAACUCCGUGCCAGCAGCCGCGGUAAUACGGAGGGUGCAAGCGUUACUCGGAAUCACUGGGCGUAAAGGACGCGUAGGCGGGUUGGAAAGUCAGGUGUGAAAUCCUACAGCUUAACUGUAGAACUGCACUUGAAACUUCUAAUCUAGAGUAUGGUAGGGGGAGAUGGAAUUAGUGGUGUAGGGGUAAAAUCCGUAGAUAUCACUAGGAAUACCUAAAGCGAAGGCGAUCUCCUGGAACAUUACUGACGCUAAGGCGUGAAAGCGUGGGGAGCAAACAGGGUUAGAUACCCGCGUAGUC